rnacentral:rRNA from 1 species
CGAGGGGAGUGAAAAAGAACCUGAAACCGUGUACGUACAAGCAGUGGGAGCACAGGUUUACCUGUGUGACUGCGUACCUUUUGUAUAAUGGGUCAGCGACUUAUAUUCUGUAGCAAGGUUAACCGAAUAGGGGAGCCGGAGGGAAACCGAGUCUUAAUUGGGCGUUAAGUUGCAGGGUAUAGACCCGAAACCCGGUGAUCUAGCCAUGGGCAGGUUGAAGGUUGGGUAACACUAACUGGAGGACCGAACCGACUAAUGUUGAAAAAUUAGCGGAUGACCUGUGGCUGGGGGUGAAAGGCCAAUCAAACCGGGAGAUAGCUGGUUCUCCCCGAAAGCUAUUUAGGUAGCGCCUCGUGAAUUCAUCUCCGGGGGUAGAGCACUGUUUCGGCUAGGGGGCCAUCCCGGCUUACCAACCCGAUGCAAACUGCGAAUACCGGAGAAUGUUAUCACGGGAGACACACGGCGGGUGCUAACGUCCGUCGUGAAGAGGGAAACAACCCAGACCGCCAGCUAAGGUCCCAAAGUCAUGGUUAAGUGGGAAACGAUGUGGGAAGGCCCAGACAGCCAGGAUGUUGGCUUAGAAGCAGCCAUCAUUUAAAGAAAGCGUAAUAGCUCACUGGUCGAGUCGGCCUGCGCGGAAGAUGUAACGGGGCUAAACCAU